CCCAGGGCCUUGUGCUUGGCACUACCACUGAGCUAAAUCCCCAACCCCUACUGUGCUGUGUGAAGGCAUUUCUGUUCUGUCGGUUUCUGAAAGCUGGUGUGGCCCCCUGGAUGAAGCCUCUGACCUGGCAGGCCUAAGAAUGGUGCUCAGGCCGGAUUCCAAGAAAGAGGAAGAAGCAGAUGGAGAAGAAAAAGUCUCCAGAACAAAAGCAUUCUACAUCACCGACUAGCGAAACAGUUGCUAAAUAAGUGUGUUCCAGCCUUGUCUUCGGAUCAUUUUCUGGAAAGAGCUGCAUUUGAUGUUCCAAGCACAUCAGUUUUAACUUGUAGGAGGAACAGAGACCCAGCAGAUAUUAAACAGAUGCUUCUAGAAAUAAGAGAAGCAACCAGCAAUAGAAGCAACCUCCAGAGCUCUCAGGCUGCGGCAGUAGCCAGACACGGCGCUCCAUGUGUGACAUGCUUAGUGAGCCACUUGGUUCUUGACGCAGUCCUGUCAGGUCCGCCGGCACUCAACGAUAGCUCACUUUGUGGCUGAGGAAAGAGCGACCCGUUGCCCGAGCAUCCCAUUCAAAAAAAAUCCACAUCGAGGAAGAGAACUCUGCUGCGGCUGUGUAUUUUACUGAACGAAUUUCUGCUGCCAGUUGGCAGGUACAGAGGUCCCAGCCAAGCCUUUGUGCCCAUCCCCCAUCUGUGCCCCUGGGACCGGCUCCGAGCUUCCUUCAUCAGCCGACCCCUCGCAGCUCUCCAGAGGUUGCGACAUCCCAAGCCUUGUGAAGUUUGGGCUAAUAGAGGCCGCUGCCAGAGCCAUGAAUGAAAUGGAACGUGGUCAAUGACUGACAUCCAUUAGAGUCCUUCGACAAACCCUGGGCUGCGUUUUGAAAGGCCCCUGGAAGAGAAAGGACUGUGUGCUCUUUGAAUGUGGGCCCGCUGAACCGCUGCCAAGGGCGGACCGCUCCAGCUCCAUUCAAAGGGCUGAGAGAAUAAAUGAGAAUAACAUCCUUGGGGACCCGCAGGAUCAGCUUACUCCGAAAAUGCUCAGCUUCACAAAGGGUCAGAGUCACAAGGUAAAUGAAAAUGGCCAGGAGGGGACUUUGAUGGCCGAAACACUGUAACAGUAGAGGACUUGAAAGAAAACUUUAUUUAAAAAAAAAAAAAAAUUAAAAAGAAGCAGUUAAAAGGGGAGGGGGUAGUGGGGGGAACCUCGGAAGGGCAAAGCCUGUUGAUAACAACAACAAAAGGUUUCUGUAGAGAUACUGGUGAGUGUUCAUUGGUUACACACACAGUCUGUAAAUAGAUGCAUAUGCUUAUGAAAAUGUGUAUCUACAUCUGCAAAUACCACACAUCACCUUUUAUUUUACUCACUAUUAAUAAA